rnacentral:rRNA from 1 species
UACGAAGGGGGGCUAGCGUUGUUCGGAAUUACUGGGCGUAAAGGGCGCGUAGGCGGUGUGUCAAGUCAGGCGUGAAAGCCCCGGGCUCAACCUGGGAACCGCGCUUGAGACUGGCACGCUCGAGUUCGGGAGAGGAUGGUGGAAUUCCCCAGUGUAGAGGUGAAAUUCGUAGAUAUUGGGAAGAACACCGAUGGCGAAGGCAGCCAUCUGGACCGACACUGACGCUGAGGCGCGAAAGCGUGGGGAGCAAACAGG